rnacentral:rRNA from 1 species
AUUGAACGCUGGCGGCAUGCUUUACACAUGCAAGUCGAACGGCAGCGCGGGCUUCGGCCUGGCGGCGAGUGGCGAACGGGUGAGUAAUGCAUCGGAACGUGCCCAGUAGUGGGGGAUAGCCCGGCGAAAGCCGGAUUAAUACCGCAUACGACCUGAGGGUGAAAGCGGGGGACCGAAAGGCCUCGCGCUAUUGGAGCGGCCGAUGUCGGAUUAGCUAGUUGGUGGGGUAAAGGCUUACCAAGGCGACGAUCCGUAGCUGGUCUGAGAGGACGACCAGCCACACUGGGACUGAGACACGGCCCAGACUCCUACGGGAGGCAGCAGUGGGGAAUUUUGGACAAUGGGGGCAACCCUGAUCCAGCCAUGCCGCGUGCGGGAAGAAGGCCUGCGGGUUGUAAACCGCUUUUGUUCGGGAAGAAAUCCUCUGGGCUAAUACCCCGGGGGGAUGACGGUACCGGAAGAAUAAGCACCGGCUAACUACG